CGGAGUGGCGGGUGCUUACACAUGCAGUCGAGCGGAAGGCCCUUCGGGGUACUCGAGCGGCGAACGGGUGAGUAACACGUGAGCAACCUGCCCUAGGCUUUGGGAUAACCCCGGGAAACCGGGGCUAAUACCGAAUAGGACCUCUGACCGCAUGGUUGGUGGUGGAAAGUUUUUCGGCCUGGGAUGGGCUCGCGGCCUAUCAGCUUGUUGGUGGGGUGAUGGCCUACCAAGGCGACGACGGGUAGCCGGCCUGAGAGGGCGACCGGCCACACUGGGACUGAGACACGGCCCAGACUCCUACGGGAGGCAGCAGUGGGGAAUAUUGCACAAUGGGCGGAAGCCUGAUGCAGCGACGCCGCGUGAGGGAUGACGGCCUUCGGGUUGUAAACCUCUUUCAGCAGGGACGAAGCGUAAGUGACGGUACCUGCAGAAGAAGCACCGGCCAACUACGUGCCAGCAGCCGCGGUAAGACGUAGGGUGCGAGCGUUGUCCGGAUUUAUUGGGCGUAAAGAGCUCGUAGGCGGCUUGUCGCGUCGACUGUGAAAACCCGCAGCUCAACUGCGGGCCUGCAGUCGAUACGGGCAGGCUAGAGUUCGGUAGGGGAGACUGGAAUUCCUGGUGUAGCGGUGAAAUGCGCAGAUAUCAGGAGGAACACCGGUGGCGAAGGCGGGUCUCUGGGCCGAUACUGACGCUGAGGAGCGAAAGCGUGGGGAGCGAACAGGAUUAGAUACCCUGGUAGUCCACGCUGUAAACGUUGGGCGCUAGGUGUGGGGGGCCUCUCCGGUUCCCUGUGCCGCAGCUAACGCAUUAAGCGCCCCGCCUGGGGAGUACGGCCGCAAGGCUAAACUCAAAGGAAUUGACGGGGGCCCGCACAGCGGCGGAGCAUGCGGAUUAAUUCGAUGCACGCGAGAUCUUACCUGGGUUGACAUGACGCAAACUGUCAGAGAUGCAGUCUUCGGGGCGUCACAGUUGUGCAUGCUGUCGUCAGCUCGUGUCCUGAGAUGUUGGUAGUUCCGCACGAGCGCAAUCGUCGAUCGAUGUGCAGCGCGUAUGCUGGACUCAUCGAGACUGCUAGGUCACUCGAGAGUGGGCAUGACGUCAGUCAUCAUGCCGUAGUCAGCUCAGCAUGUCUCAUGAUCGUACAAUGGACUGGCAUACCGCUA
rnacentral:rRNA from 1 species